AUUGAACGCUGGCGGCAGGCCUAACACAUGCAAGUCGAGCGGUAACACAGGGAGCUUGCUCCUGGGUGACGAGCGGCGGACGGGUGAGUAAUGUCUGGGAAACUGCCUGAUGGAGGGGGAUAACUACUGGAAACGGUAGCUAAUACCGCAUAACGUCGCAAGACCAAAGAGGGGGACCUUCGGGCCUCUUGCCAUCAGAUGUGCCCAGAUGGGAUUAGCUAGUAGGUGGGGUAACGGCUCACCUAGGCGACGAUCCCUAGCUGGUCUGAGAGGAUGUCCAGGCACACUGGAACUGAGGCACGGUCCAGACUCCUACGGGAGGCAGCAGUGGGGAAUAUUGCACAAUGGGCGCAAGCCUGAUGCAGCCAUGCCGCGUGUAUGAAGAAGGCCUUCGGGUUGUAAAGUACUUUCAGCGGGGAGGAAGGCGAUAAGGUUAAUAACCUUGUCGAUUGACGUUACCCGCAGAAGAAGCACCGGCUAACUCCGUGCCAGCCGCCGCGGUAA
rnacentral:rRNA from 1 species